rnacentral:hammerhead_ribozyme from 1 species
AUCCAGCUGACGAGUCCCAAAUAGGACGAAAUGCGACAUCAU